GAAUUGCCGGUACUAUUUCUCUGCUGGGCUCCAAUUUAAUAGCAAACAAGAUAAAAUAUGUCUAUUACUCAUCAAGAUAUCCCAUAAUAUUGGAUAUAUUGAUCCAUUUCACAGAC